rnacentral:rRNA from 1 species
UGUCCUUAGUUGCCAUCAGGUUAUGCUGGGAACUCUAAGGGGACUGCCCCAGACAAUGGGGAGGAAGUGGGGACGACGUCAAGUCAUCAUGGCCCUUACGUCCAGGGCUACACACGUGCUACAAUGGUCGGUACAACGGGAGGCAAUACCGCGAGGUGGAGCAAAUCCUGAAAACCGGCCUCAGUUCAGAUUGCAGUCUGCAACUCGACUGCAUGAAGUCGGAAUCGCUAGUAAUCGCGGAUCAGCAUGCCGCGGUGAAUACGUUCCCGGGCCUU